rnacentral:rRNA from 1 species
AACGAACGCUGGCGGCAGGCCUAACACAUGCAAGUCGAACGGUUCCUUCGGGGACAGUGGCAGACGGGUGAGUAACGCGUGGGAAUCUACCUUGUGGUACGGAACAACCAAGGGAAACUUUGGCUAAUACCGUAUGAGCCCUUCGGGGGAAAGAUUUAUCGCCAUAAGAUGAGCCCGCGUAGGAUUAGCUAGUUGGUGAGGUAAAGGCUCACCAAGGCGACGAUCCUUAGCUGGUCUGAGAGGAUGACCAGCCACACUGGGACUGAGACACGGCCCAGACUCCUACGGGAGGCAGCAUUGGGGAAUAUUGGACAAUGGGCGCAAGCCUGAUCCAGCCAUGCCGCGUGUGUGAUGACGGCCUUAGGGUUGUAUAGCACUUUCGCCGAUGAAGAUAAUGACUGUAGUCGGAGAAGAAGCCCCGGCUAACUUCGUGCCAGCAGCCGCCGUAA